CAAAGUUGUUGUGUAGUCGAUUGCAAAAAUACUUGUAGGAAUAGUAAUUGUAAAUUUUAUAAGUUUCCGGUUGCCAAGUGGAGAUUAAAUCAGCGAAAAAAAUGGAUAACUGCUGUUAAAAGGCAAAAUAUUGAUGGAUCGUUAUGGUCCUCAAAACCUAUGGAUGUUAUAUGCAGUGAACACUUAAUUGGCGGUGAAAAAUCAGAUGUUGAAUCAAGUCCUAAUUACGCUCCAACUAUUUUUCCAUCCGUUUAUAGAAGACGUAAAGUCAACGAAUCCACAGUUUUGAGUAGACACAAACGCUUCAUGGACAGGAAAAUAAUAAAAAAGUCAACGGCUGAGAUAGAUCCGGCGAUGAAUAUUAUAGAACCCUCUGAAAUAACUG